ACAAAAAAUGCCAGGAAAGCGAAGCUUGUGGUCUGAAGAGAGCCUUCAAGCCGCCAUGACAGCUGUCAAAUAUGGGCACAUGACAGGAUUGGCCGCAGCCCGUAGAUAUAAAAUACCAAGGACUACAUUGUAUAGCCACAUAAAAUCUGGAAGUGAUGUAAAACGCACAGGACGCAAGUCAACCUUCACCCAGGAACAAGAAAAUGAUUUUGUCAUAAGAAUAUUCUGUAUCGCUAAAAGUGGAAAAAAAGUAACACCUAGUCUCAUACGUAAAGAAGCGUUUAUAUUCUGCGAAAAGAAUAAUAUUGAGCACAGCUUUAACAAGAAGAAUCGCAUUGCAGGCCGUGACUGGUACAAAGAGUUUAAAAAGCGUCAUUCUGAAAUUUCAGAAGCAUUCCUUAACAAAAAUUGAGAAUCGUAUUGAUUUUAAUUAAAUGAAUUAGUAUCUAAUUAACUAUCUUUUAUUUAUGAAACAUCUUAUAAUCGACCUAGGUUUAUUUUCGUAAAAAUCUCUUAAUUUAGUUAUUCCUAAUAUCUGCCCAAUUAUUCAGUUUUUACAGAUUCAAUAAAAAUGACACAAAAGCGAGGCGUCUGGUCUGAGGAAAACCUUCAAGCCGCCAUGACAGCUGUCAAACGAGGGCUGUUGACAAGUCAAGCUGCAUCACGCAAAUAUAAAAUACCCUAUACCACACUGAGAGACCACUUGGUAUCUGGAAAUGGUGUAAAACGCUUAGGCAGAAAAUCAAUAUUCACUCAGGAACAAGAAAAUGAUCUUGUUACAAGAAUAUUGCGUAUUGCUGAAAGUGGAAAAAACAUAACAUCUAGUCUCAUAUGUAAAGAAGCGUUUGGGUUCUGCGAACAGAAUAAUAUUCAGCAUAGAUUUGACAAGAAAACUCGUGCUGCUGGCCGUCAGUGGUUAAGGGCGUUUAGAAAUCGGCAUUCUGAAAUUGCAAAAGUGCUCUCUAAGAAAAAAUAGGAACCUAAAUCCGAUCGAAAUACCACGAAAGCGAGACUUUUUGAAAUGGACAGAAAAGAGCCUUCAAGCUGCCAUAACAGCCGUUAAAUAUGAAAAUAUGGCAGUGAAGGCUGCAGCUCGUACAUAUAAAAUACCAAGGUCUACACUGUGCAACCAUUUGAAAUCUGGAAGUGAUGUAAAACGCAUAGGACGCAAGUCAACCUUCACCCAGGAACAAGAAAAUGAUUUUGUCAUAAGAAUAUUCCGUAUCGCUAAAAGAGGAAAAAAAUUAACACCUAGUCUCAUACGUAAAGAAGCGUUUUUAUUCUGCGAAAAGAAUAAUAUUGAGCACAGCUUUAACAAGAAAAAUCGCAUUGCAGGCCCUGACUGGUACAAAGAGUUUAAAAAGCGUCAUUCUGAAAUUUCAGAAGUACUCUUUAACAAAUAAAUAAAUAUUCUUGGACAUUUUACACUACGCCGCUAGUCCCAAACUAAGCAAACAUUGAGAUUCGUAUUAAUGUUAAUUAAAUGAAUUUAGUAUAAAUUAACUAUCUAUUAUUCAUUAAAUAUCUUAUAAUAUAUCGAUUUAUGUGAUAAUCUCUAACUAUUACAUAGGUAUCCAGUAAUAUUACUUAAUGUUAAUAGCACUUAAUUAUUUUUAAUCAAUUGUACUUGAUUGUUGACAGACUCACUAAAAAUACCAGGAAAGCGAGGCUUGUGGUCUGAAAAGAGCCUUCAAGCCGCCAUGACAGCUGUCAAAUAUGAGCAUAUGUCAGUAUUGACUGCAUCACGCAGAUAUAAAAUACCAAGGACCACACUGAGAAACCACAUGAAAUCUGGAAGCAGUGUGAAAUGCGUGGGUAAAAAAUUAACAUUCAACCAGGAACAAGAAAAUGAACUUGUAAUCAGAAUACUCGGUUUAGCGCAAAGUGGAAUAAAUUUGACACCUGGUCUCAUACGGAGAGAAGCAUUUGUAUUCUGCGAGAAGAAUAAUAUUGAGCACAAGUUCAACAAGAAAGCUCGCGUUGCUGGUAAGAAAUGGCUCCAGAAGUUUUUAAAGAGGCAUGUUGAAAUUUCUCAAGAGCUCUGUCAAAGGCGAAGGAAUAAGCAAUAGGCAGUGCGAUUUUCUUGCAUUGAUUAAAAAUUAUAUAAAUUGAACUAAGUA